UUAAGGAUCAGUAUGUAAAUAAGGGUUUUAAGGACCCAAUCCUUAGUGCACGUGGCAUGUUGCCAUUGAGUCUUCUUCUGUUUCUUUCUCUUCUUCAUCUUCUUCUCUGCCGAUUUCACAGUCAAACUUUCUGAAUCAAAUGGGCAAAGCGAAGAACAGCUUUUCCGCGAAUCAAAACACCCAGCCCAUUGUCUCUCUUCCCUCUUCUCCUUCUCACUCUGGUACCAUCUUCUUACUCUUUAAUUUUCAUAAAGUUUUGAUUUUUUGCCUCUCCUCCAUCUGGGUUUCUCUCUACACUUAAUGAUCCCUUAGUCUAAAGCUUUUUGCCAUUGGUGGGGAACUAUUUUGAAGUAUUGCGUCUUCUUCUUCUUCUUCCUCGUGCGAGUCGUAGCCGUUGAGUAUUGCGUCUUCUUCUUCUUCGAGCGGGAAGAGGGCUCUGUGGCGUGGCGGGUCAAACUCUUCAUCUUCUUUGAGAAGGAAUCUGAAAGGGGAGAGAGAUGAAGAGGCGAGUGAUUGCUUCUCUGAUGGCCGUAGAAGAUGCGCUUGGAUCACUUCCAAGUCUGAUUUCGAGUUACAAGAUGAAACUCUUUGAUAAUUUGGUGGGAAAAGCAUAAAAGGUUUUGGAGAUUGGCGUUGGAACAGGUUACUACUCGGUUAUUCCAAACGUUUAUGUCCCUGGAAAACAAAAUAGUCACCUGAACUCGAAGUAUGUGGAGACUAUUUUUUCUCAUUGAACGUUUUUAUAAACUGCGUGAGCCUGUUCUUCUUGUUGGUGAAACUGGGGAAGGCAAAACAACAAUCUGCCAACUACUGAGGGAGUAUAAGAAGCUAAGGUUGCACAUCCUUAACUGUCAUCAAUACACAGAACAGCGGGGAAGCUUUACAGUAUACUUUCUUUGCGUUCUAAUGAGCAUGAGAGCAGAGAAGUUGUUUCAUACUUUGGGUAUACUUUCUUUGUGACACAUUCUAAUUGGUUUUACAGUAGAUUCUUCAUAGGACAAUGGAUUCAGAAGUAGUUUUAUUGUUUAUGUUAUUGAUGACUAUUUAUUUCUAAGAAUUUC